AAGUUUAAGACAGCUUGGUCAGGCCCAGAGCCUCACCAGCCCCCCCUAGAACACAGAGUAUUGUUUCCAUCCAAACUUUGCACUGAAAGGAAGCCUGUCAGCUGGCGGUGACCUCGUGAGACAACUGUGGGGAGAGCAAAGGGCCGAGAAGAGAAAGGCCUCAUUCUCACUGCAAACAGGAAAAGGAAAGAGAAAAAGCAAGCUCUGUCUCCACACCAGAUUUGCUGGGUUGCCUAUGAACUGUUCCAGUACGUUCCAUCAAAUAGACGCCUUCAUAGAAUCAAGCAGAGCGCGAACGCCGUGUUUGGGGCCCCCACUCCCAGGACACACACGUGGGCUGCCUUACACAUGCUCUUGCUCUCUCGCGCCCUAGGAGAGCACUUAUAUGGGCUUCAUGAGGCUAAGUAAUAAACACUUUGUCUUCACCCUGCUAUUUAUGGGUUGCUUGGGGCAUCCUGUUCUCUCUACUGCCCUUACCUGAACAGACGGCUCCCGCAGACCCCCAGUUUAAUAGGGACAACAGUAAAUCUGAAAGGCUGUGUGCGCCCCACGUGCUCCCGUUUUCCUGGCCACCCAUGCUAAUUGCAGAGAAAGGCCAACCAGCAUCCCUCCCUCCAGUUAUUCUCUGUGUGCCCUUCCUGAGGGAUCCCUUCAUUCUUCAGCAAUGGACCAAUGAACUCUGAAAACAAGAACGACCCCGACAGCUGCAAACCAGCAGCCCUCGCCUCCAGCAGAGGUUUUCGCGAAACUCUGGAUGACCACGCGCAUGCAAAGGGAUUUCAGAGCUUCCAGGUCCUGUAGGAAGAGAUGGAGUCACGGCUGCACCCUGUCCACUCUCGGGCUAUUACACCAGCCUGGAUCCCGGCCACUUGUCGGUCUUGUCUUCAUCUUGGGCUCACCGGCCGUCUCCUGCAAACAGACAAGACAGAGAAGGAUGAGUGAACUCGGCCUCUCCCCACAGAAUACAGUUCGCCAUUACAGCGCUGAUUAAAUACAGGACAUUAUCUCACCAUAAUGCCCUUCUGGCGGCUUUCCCAGGAAAAUUCUAACUAAUCAUAAAAAUAGAAAGAAAAACGCAACCUAAA